AGCGUGUCUCCUCAUUUCACAUGAUACCCAUCCGCGCCUCCACACCCCCUCUUUUCCAAAAGCUCCAUCGGCGGUGCCUCUCCGCCUUGCACCGUCGUUGCACUGAACUUCCGUCACACCGAAGCUCCAUCACACCCCCUCCCAGCUCUUCUUCGUGUGUUGCUCGCGUCGCUUCGUAUCGAACCCUAAUGUGUAGAAAUCGUAGAAAUCGGUCCGUUUCGAUCUCGCCUCAGCUGUGCAGCCUCUCCUCCUAUUUGCUAUUUUUCGUCGAGCUUUUUUGCAUCUCGUCUGAUUCACCGCCUCUCCUUGAACUUUGCAGCGCGCUACCGUCGUUCUAGUCUUGGAAUUAUUUGAGAUCCCACGUGGCCAAGGUCGUGGUGGCUGGUGAAUACAUUGAGUUAGGAGCAUAUAGAAUGAAUUCAGGAGAACUUGGCUUAAAUCUUUUCUAAAGUGAAGACGCUCCUACCAGAUUAAGUGAAGAGGGGAAGCAAGAUUAAACUCGACCUCUUAGUUAUGCAUGCUUUAACAUGAUGACAUGAAACUAUUUCUCCUACAAUUUUAACUUAUUUAAUUAAUAUGAAAAUGAAACACAAGCUAUUAUGAUCUGUUAUUGUUGGCUGCUUUUUGGGUUGCUAUCUUUGGCAUCCACCAUUAAUAGCAGUCUAUCUUGGUUGCUUCUAAUUUGUUGCAAUAACAGUUGAGAGUGAUUAUUAAAACUAAUUAUAGGUUUUAUAUAUAAGAAUUAAGAUAGAUUAUGCCCAUGGCUAACUUUGGGAUACUUUUGCAGGUUCUUGAAUUGAUGAAAAAAUGCCUUGAGUCGAUGCCCUGUUAUGGAAAGUUGGGAGAGAUCAUACACAAUGUGUUAUUCUCUGAUUCUUCCAUCCAUAACACACUCUUCCAAAUUUCUUGUACUACUGCCCAAGUCUUGGAGAAACUGCAUGUAAGCCGCCUCUUUGAUUCAAUGAUAAUUAAGGGGAUACAACUUGCUAUAGGAUCUGUCUUAGAAAUUCUUGUGGUUAUGCUGACUAGACUGUCAAAGGAUAACUCUUCCAGCUUCCCCAUUUUUCUCCAAGCAGUGUUCUCAUGUACAACCAAAUCAGUUCCUCUUAUCACUUGUGUUACUUCUUUGAUUUCAUACUUUUGGAACCCUGUAAGAAUACUAGCCAUGCUGGAAAUUUAGUGCUCUUACAUUGAUUUUUUUAUUUUUAUUUUUAUUUAAAUGCCUUGUGCUUUUGCUGAACUAAUCACUAGGAAUGUGACAAUGAGUUUUACUUUUUAUUUAACAAUAACUAAUCUGCUUAUUUCUGCUCUCUUUUUGUUCCAUCAAUUAGAGAUCUUUUAGAAACUUGUGUUUUGUUAUUCUGUUACUGUUAUGUAUUGAUUGCAUUUGCUGAACAAUGAACUGAUAUUGAUUACAUUCCUAAUUUCCUAUAUUGUUUUGCAUGCCUGCUCAUCCAUUUGCUUCUAAUAUAGUUCAUCAUUUCAUUUUAUUAAAGGCUGAUAUCUUUCUAGGCCAUCCAGUUGGGUGCUGUCAAGUUCAUUUCAAUGUUAUUUGUCACAGCAGAUUGUUGUCAACCAUUUUUGUAUGGAACCACGUUUUUUGCCCCUGAUAAUGAGGAGGUUUGGCAUUGUAAUUUCAUCUUACAACUUUAUUUUCUUUUUUUCUUCUGAAACUUUCUGCAACUUGUGUUAUUUUGUCCUAAGUGAUAAUAUUCUAACUGGUUUUAGAUCAUGGAUUUUAGGCGUUUUGCAAGCUACAUACUACAGAAGAAACUGGUAUCAAAUGAAGAGCUUUUUGUUGUAACACUUAAUUUAUUCACUUCUGUAGCACGUUACCAGGUUUAUAUCAUAUGUUGUAAAUUUUCUGCUGUUGACACUGUCAUCCCCCACCCCUUCUUAAAUGCAUUUCAAAAUGAAUGCUACAACUUUUUGCAUAACUUCUUUCAUGAGUAGAUGUGUCUACUGUUUGUUGAGUUUUCAUGAGGAUAUUGCAUCAUGACAGUUCAACGGCUAAUUUUCUAGUUUUUCUCAGGGCUCUGUUCCAUCAUUAUUGGGUUAGGGGUGGUGAAAAUCCCUUGUUCAAGCAUCAUAUUUUGAAUUGAUGUUCCUUGUUGCAGUCUACUUUUGUUGUUGCUAUCUUUGCUCCAGAUGCCGGCAAUGAAGACCAACAUAAUACUGGGGAUCCAAAGUCGCAUGAAGGUGUAUAUAUAAUUUUAUUAUGCAACUGGAUGUAAAUUUUCAGGUGGCCACCAAUUCAUUGCUUACAGGAAGCCCAUGACAAGUCAAGAUCUGUGACUAAGGCUCCUGCCAUGAAGGAUAGAAGCCGAAGCAUCUUCUGUUCAGAAAAAUCUAGUGAUAGGAAGAAAAGAGAAACCGAUUUCAAUGAAUGCUUUUCAACUCAUUUCAAGAUCACAAAGCUUUAACCUUGACAGCUUCUUUGAGCAGCAAAUAGUAAGUAAAAUAUGAUAUUUGAUCUUAAUUUGAUCAUAUUAACAAAUUUAUUUAUAACUUGCAUGAAAACUCACUUUAAGAGAUUAUCUCUGGAAAAUAGCCAAAUAGGUUAACUAGCAUUUCAGCAUUGAGGUUAUUUUUUGUUUCAUUCUUGUCAUCCAGGUUUUCUAUUCUUAAUUAGAGUAACUGCUGUAACAUUCUGUGUCACUCUGGCCGCCUCACUAGCUGCACGCUAGGUAUCAACCCAUUAAUGCUUUGGCAUUUGUAUUUGAUAGUAUCAACUUUGGUGCAUCUGACUUUGCAAAUUCAACAUUCUCUUUUGCAUUUAUAAUAACAUGAUAUGUAUAUAAAGUUAGAUGGAUCUUAUCCAUUUAUGUUAAUCAGGAGCAUUGGAAGUCAGAGGGUGUGAUAAACCACUAUUUUACGGUUUAUUUUGUAUUAAAUUGAGUGGAUUUUAUCAACUAUUC